UACGGAGGGUGCAAGCGUUAAUCGGAAUUACUGGGCGUAAAGCGCACGCAGGCGGUUGAUUGAGCCAGAUGUGAAAUCCCCGGGCUCAACCUGGGAAUUGCAUCUGAAACUGGUUGGCUAGAGUGUUGUAGAGGGGGGUAGAAUUCCAGGUGUAGCGGUGAAAUGCGUAGAGAUGGGGAGGAAUACCGAAGGCGAAGGCAGCCCCUUGGGAAUGUACUGACGCUCAUGUGCGAAAGCGUGGGGAGCAAACAGG
rnacentral:rRNA from 1 species